UACAGAGGUCUCAAGCGUUGUUCGGAUUCAUUGGGCGUAAAGGGUGCGUAGGUGGCGCCGUAAGUCAGGUGUGAAAUUUCGGAGCUUAACUCCGAAACUGCAUUUGAUACUGCGGUGCCUGAGGACUGGAGAGGAGACUGGAAUUUACGGUGUAGCAGUGAAAUGCGUAGAGAUCGUAAGGAAGACCAGUGGCGAAGGCGGGUCUCUGGACAGUUCCUGACACUGAGGCACGAAGGCCAGGGGAGCAAACGGG
rnacentral:rRNA from 1 species